rnacentral:rRNA from 1 species
AUUGAACGCUGGCGGCAGGCCUAACACAUGCAAGUCGAAAGAGUGGCGGACGGGUGAGUAAUGUCUGGGAAACUGCCCGAUGGAGGGGGAUAACUACUGGAAACGGUAGCUAAUACCGCAUACCAUCGGAGGUGCCCAGAGGGGAUUAGCUAGUAGGUGGGGUAACGGCUCACCUAGGCGCCGAUCCCUAGCUGGUAUGAGAGGAUGACCAGCAACACUGGAACUUAGACACGGUCCAGACUCCGACGGGAGGCAGAAGUGGGGAAUAUUGCACAAUGGGCGCAAGCCUUAUGCAGCCAUGCCGCGUGUAUGAAGAAGGCCGUCGGGUUGUAAAGUACUUUCAGCGAGGAGGCGUUACUCGCAGAAGAAGCACCGGCUAACUCCGUGCCAGCAGCCGCGGUAAUAC